UACAGAGGGGGCAAGCGUUAUUCGGAAUUAUUGGGCGUAAAGGGCGCGUAGGCGGCUUUUCAAGUGACGGGUGAAAUCCCUCGGCUUAACCGAGGAACUGCCUGUCAGACUGGAAGGCUUGAGACCGGGAGAGGUGAGUGGAACUGCGAGUGUAGAGGUGAAAUUCGUAGAUAUUCGCAAGAACACCAGUGGCGAAGGCGGCUCACUGGCCCGGUACUGACGCUGAGGUGCGAAAGCGUGGGGAGCAAACAGG
rnacentral:rRNA from 1 species